rnacentral:misc_RNA from 1 species
UGCGCAUCACCUCUUGCUUGUCUAGAUCAGCCCGGACGUUGGCAUGUGUAGCGUAUUUUGUCGGGUUUCGAGAUCAAGAAUCGAUGUCCCUUUGUUGGUUGGUUUUCCGAGAAUCCUUGACCCUUGAUUUGUUACCUUCGCAUCGUUUGGUGCAUGUUUUCCGAGAAUCCUUGACCCUUGAUUUGUUGCUUUCGCAUCGUUCGGUGCAUGUUUUCCGAGAAUCCUUGACCCUUGAUUUGUUACUUUCGCAUCGUUCGGUGCAUUCUGGGGGAUGUUUUGGCUUUUGGUGGCUUACUUGGCCUUUUGGCUGGGUUUGUUGCUAUUGGUCGGGCGACUUUCGGGAAUGUCGACCGUGGAGGUGCAUGAGUGGUGUUUGGUUUGUUACGUGUGGAUGGCUGUUUGCUUGCGCAACAACGUUCACGCUGCAUACCUCUUCAGUUUUGCGGCAAGGCUUGGUUUGGCUUGUGCAUAUUGUGGGUUUCCUGUGUUGCAUACCUAGUUGAAGGAAAAGUGUGGGUUUUACGAUUUUCAUUUUCGUCUUGCGUCGUUCUUUCGGCAUGGGAUGAGCAAUGAAGCGAUCUUUAUGAUCCAUCGUGCUGUUGUGUUUGCAACAAUGAUGUGGCCUAUGAAGCAUCGUUUGGUCUCUUGUAUACGGAAGCUCAUUUGGGCUUGGGUCUUCAUAAGAUCUUCGUUAUGCCCUUGUUAAGCGUUCUCGCUUCUCCUAAACGAUUG